rnacentral:rRNA from 1 species
UACGGGGGGAGCAAGCGUUGUUCGGAUUUACUGGGCGUAAAGGGUGCGUAGGCGGCGCGGUAAGUCGGGUGUGAAAUUUCGAGGCUUAACUUCGAAACUGCAUUCGAUACUGCCGUGCUAGAGGACUGGAGAGGAGACUGGAAUUUACGGUGUAGCGGUGAAAUGCGUAGAUAUCGUAAGGAAGACCAGUGGCGAAGGCGGGUCUCUGGACAGUUCCUGACGCUGAGGCACGAAGGCCAGGGGAGCAAACGGG